CAAGACUUGCGCUUUUGGAGCGGCCGAUGUCUGAUUAGCUAGUUGGUGAGGUAAAGGCUUACCAAGGCGUCGAUCAGUAGCUGGUCUGAGAGGACGACCAGCCACACUGGGACUGAGACACGGCCCAGACUCCUACGGGAGGCAGCAGUGGGGAAUUUUGGACAAUGGGGGAAACCCUGAUCCAGCCAUGCCGCGUGAGUGAAGAAGGCCUUCGGGUUGUAAAGCUCUUUCAGCCGGAACGAAACGGUCACGGUUAAUACCCGUGACUACUGACGGUACCGGAAGAAGAAGCACCGGCUAACUACGUGCCAGCAGCCGCGGUAAUACGUAGGGUGCAAGCGUUAAUCGGAAUUACUGGGCGUAAAGCGUGCGCAGGCGGUUUUGUAAGUCAGAUGUGAAAUCCCCGGGCUUAACCUGGGAACU
rnacentral:rRNA from 1 species